rnacentral:rRNA from 1 species
AGAGUUUGAUCCUGGCUCAGGAUGAACGCUGGCUGUGUGCCUAAUACAUGCAUGUCGAGCGAGGUUCUUUUGAACCUAGCGGCGAAUGGGUGAGUAACACGUGCUUAAUCUACCCUUUAGAUUGGAAUACCCAAUGGAAACAUUGGCUAAUGCCGGAUACGCAUGGAAUCGCAUGAUUCCGUUGUGAAAGGAGCCUUUAAAGCUCCGCUAGAGGAUGAGGGUGCGGAACAUUAGUUAGUUGGUAGGGUAAUGGCCUACCAAGACUAUGAUGUUUAGCCGGGUCGAGAGACUGAACGGCCACAUUGGGACUGAGAUACGGCCCAAACUCCUACGGGAGGCAGCAGUAGGGAAUAUUCCACAAUGAGCGAAAGCUUGAUGGAGCGACACAGCGUGCACGAUGAAGGUCUUCGGAUUGUAAAGUGCUGUUAUAGGGAAAGAACACCUGGUUGAGGAAAUGCUUCCAGGCUGACGGUACCCUGUCAGAAAGCGAUGGCUAACUAUGUGCCAGCAGCCGCGGUAAUACAUAGGUCGCAAGCGUUAUCCGGAAUUAUUGGGCGUAAAGCGUUCGUAGGCUGUUUAUUAAGUCUGGAGUCAAAUCCCAGGGCUCAACCCUGGCUCGCUUUGGAUACUGGUAAACUAGAGUUAGAUAGAGGUAAGCGGAAUUCCAUGUGAAGCGGUGAAAUGCGUAGAUAUAUGGAAGAACACCAAAGGCGAAGGCAGCUUACUGGGUCUAUACUGACGCUGAGGGACGAAAGCGUGGGGAGCAAACAGGAUUAGAUACCCUGGUAGUCCACGCCGUAAACGAUGAUCAUUAGUCGGUGGAGAGUUCACUGACGCAGCUAACGCAUUAAAUGAUCCGCCUGAGUAGUAUGCUCGCAAGAGUGAAACUUAAAGGAAUUGACGGGGACCCGCACAAGCGGUGGAGCAUGUGGUUUAAUUUGAAGAUACGCGGAGAACCUUACCCACUCUUGACAUCCUUCGCAAUGCUAUAGAGAUAUAGCGGAGGUUAACGGAGUGACAGAUGGUGCAUGGUUGUCGUCAGCUCGUGUCGUGAGAUGUUUGGUCAAGUCCUGCAACGAGCGCAACCCCUAUCUUUAGUUACUAACGAGUCAUGUCGAGGACUCUAGAGAUACUGCCUGGGUAACUGGGAGGAAGGUGGGGAUGACGUCAAAUCAUCAUGCCUCUUACGAGUGGGGCAACACACGUGCUACAAUGGUCGGUACAAAGAGAAGCAAUAUGGCGACAUGGAGCAAAUCUCAAAAAGCCGAUCUCAGUUCGGAUUGGAGUCUGCAAUUCGACUCCAUGAAGUCGGAAUCGCUAGUAAUCGCAGAUCAGCUACGCUGCGGUGAAUACGUUUUCGGGUCUUGUACACACCGCCCGUCACACCAUGGGAGCUGGUAAUACCCAAAGUCGGUUAGCUAACCUCGGAGGCGACCGCCUAAGGUAGGACUGGUGACUGGGGUGAAGUCGUAACAAGGUAUCCCUACGAGAACGUGGGGAUGGAUCACCU